rnacentral:lncRNA from 1 species
CUCCCUCCCCCCAUCCCAAUGGGCUCCUCUCAUUCCUCCCACGACCAUGGAGAUGGUGAUGAUGGUGAUGAUGAUGAAGAGGAGUUUGGGCUCUUUGUAAACUCCAAGACCUCCAAGAAGAAUCUCAAGCAAGCACCCGAGGUCCUCCCAUAUCGCACUGCUGCCUUUCCACUCUCCCCUUAGCUCUCUAUUGUCGGCACCUUGCACCUCCUUGGCCUUUCCAUCUAG